GAUGAACGCUGGCGGCGUGCCUAAUACAUGCAAGUCGAGCGAACAGAUGAGAAGCUUGCUUCUCUGAUGUUAGCGGCGGACGGGUGAGUAACACGUGGGUAACCUACCUAUAAGACUGGGAUAACUCCGGGAAACCGGGGCUAAUACCGGAUAAUAUUUUGAACCGCAUGGUUCAAUAGUGGAAGACGGUUUCGGCUGUCACUUAUAGAUGGACCCGCGCCGUAUUAGCUAGUUGGUAAGGUAACGGAUUACCAAGGCAACGAUACGUAGCCGAACUGAGAGGGGGAUCGGCCAGACUGGAACUGGGACACGAUCCAGACUCCUACGGGAGGCAGCAGUAGGGAAUCUUCCGCAAUGGGCGAAAGCCUGACGGAGCAACGCCGCGUGAGUGAUGAAGGUCUUCGGAUCGUAAAACUCUGUUGUUAGGGAAGAACAAAUUUGUUAGUAACUGAACAAGUCUUGACAGUACCUAACCAGAAAGCCACGGCUAACUACGUGCCAGCCGCCGCAGUAA
rnacentral:rRNA from 1 species